GACGAACGCUGGCGGCGUGCUUAACACAUGCAAGUCGAACGGAAAGGCCCUGCUUUUGUGGGGUGCUCGAGUGGCGAACGGGUGAGUAACACGUGAGUAACCUGCCCUUGACUUUGGGAUAACUUCAGGAAACUGGGGCUAAUACCGGAUAGGAGCUCCUGCUGCAUGGUGGGGGUUGGAAAGUUUCGGCGGUUGGGGAUGGACUCGCGGCUUAUCAGCUUGUUGGUGGGGUAGUGGCUUACCAAGGCUUUGACUGGUAGCCGGCAUGGGAGGGUGACCGGCGUCAUUGGACCUAAGGUAGGCCGCAGUCUCCAACGUGAGGCAACGGUGGGAAGUAUUACGCAGCGGCGGGACGCGUGUUACGGAGGCCCUGCGAUCGUAAUAAUGUCCUAUGAGUUGAGAACCACUUUCUCCUUAAACGAGGAUGGAUUGAGGGUAAUUAAUAAGAAAGCACCGGCUAACUACGUG
rnacentral:rRNA from 1 species